rnacentral:rRNA from 1 species
UACGUAGGGGGCAAGCGUUUGUCCGGAAUCAUUGGGCGUAAAGCGCGCGUAGGCGGCCCGGUAAGUCCGCUGUAAAAGUCCAGGGCUCAACCCUGGAAUGCCGGUGGAUACUGUCGGGCUAGAGUCCGGAAGAGGCGAGUGGAAUUCUUGGUGUAGCGGUGAAAUGCGUAGAUAUCAAGAGGAACACCUGAGGUGAAGACGGGUUGCUAGGCUGACACUGACGCUGAGGCGCGAAAGCCAGGGGAGCAAACGGG